UACGUAGGGCGCAAGCGUUAUCCGGAAUUAUUGGGCGUAAAGAGCUCGUAGGCGGUUUGUCGCGUCUGCCGUGAAAGUCCGGGGCUCAACUCCGGAUCUGCGGUGGGUACGGGCAGACUAGAGUGAUGUAGGGGGAGACUGGAAUUCCUGGUGUAGCGGUGAAAUGCGCAGAUAUCAGGAGGAACACCAAUGGCGAAGGCAGCUCGCUGGAACGGUACUGACGCUGAGGCGCGAAAGCGUGGGGAGCGAACAGG
rnacentral:rRNA from 1 species